GGCGGCAGGCGGAGCCUUCCCGCGCGCGGCGUCAGAGCGCGGGCCCUCCGCCCCUCGCAGCCCGUCAGGCGCCCCGAGUCAGCGAACCACCGAGAGGCGAAGACCUCCCGUUUGCCUAGAUAGAACCCGUGGGUGUUAGGGGGUUCGGGGGGUGGGGAGGAUAACGAAAAGGACCGGCCCGGAAGCGAAACGAGGGUACUUCCGUUCUUUGUUCUGUCCCCGGUGUGUGGGUCUGUGACAGGGUCCAACGGGGCCUGGUCCGAGUCUGGCCCCCCCAAGUCUCCCGUCCCUGCCCCCAGGUUUUGUCAUCAGUUAAGAUCAGAAUAUCCAGGAACUUGAGCAGAGGUUGCCAAAUUCCCAGUAAUUGCUACCUUGGCCUGCUAGGGACUAACUCCAAAGAAGGAAAGAAUCCAGCAGCUCUUCCUUCCUCGAAAGUUCCUGCAUUUUCUGACAAGGACAGCCUCGGGAAUGAGAUGUUGGCAGCUGCACUCCUAAAGGCGAAGUCCCAGGUGAGCUGUGACUCCCUUUAUCUUCUUUUCCUUUUCCCUUUUAUGGAAAUUUUUUGUACAGUGGCAUCGCAUUUGGUGCCUGAAACCACAAUUCCCUCCUUCAGGACCAUGGUCCUUUCCCACUCUGUAAUGGCGC
rnacentral:lncRNA from 1 species